CGCAAGCUUGACCGAGCGAUGCCGCGUGCGGGAUGAAGGCCCUCGGGUUGUAAACCGCUGUCGUAGGGGAAUAAAGGUCGGUGGGUUCUCCCAUCGAUUUGAAUGAUCCUAGGAGGAAGGACGGGCUAAGUUCGUGCCAGCAGCCGCGGUAAGACGAACCGUCCAAACGUUAUUCGGAAUCACUGGGCUUACAGAGUUCGUAGGCGGUCUGGAAAGUUGGGUGUGAAAUCCCUCGGCUCAACCGAGGAACUGCGCUUGAAACUACCAGACUCGAGGGAGAUAGAGGAAAGCGGAACUGAUGGUGGAGCGGUGAAAUGCGUUGAUAUCAUCAGGAACACCGGUGGCGAAGGCGGCUUUCUGGGUCUUACCUGACGCUGAGGAACGAAAGCCAGGGGAGCGAACGGGAUUAGAUACCCCGGUAGUCCUGGCCGUAAACGAUGAGCACUAGGUCGUGGGCCUCCACAGGCCCUCGGCCGUAGCGAAAGUGUUAAGUGCUCCGCCUGGGGAGUAUGGUCGCAAGGCUG
rnacentral:rRNA from 1 species